UUUUGACAUUUAUAUUGUUACCAAAACUACU
rnacentral:piRNA from 1 species